GAUGAACGCUGGCGGCAUGCUUAACACAUGCAAGUUGAACGAAGAUUAUAGUUCUUUGAAUUCUAAUACUUAGUAGCGGACGGGUGAGUAACGCGUAAGAAUCUACCUUUAGGAAAAGAAUAACAACUGGAAACGGUUGCUAAUACUUUAUAUGCUGAGAAGUUAAAUGGGUUACCGCCUAAAGAUGAGCUUGCGUCUGAUUAGCUAGUUGGUAAGGUAAAGGCUUACCAAGGCGAUUAUCAGUAGUUGGUCUGAGAGGAUGAUCAGCCACACUGGGACUGAGACACGGCCCAG
rnacentral:rRNA from 1 species